AACGAACGCUGGCGGCAUGCCUAACACAUGCAAGUCGAACGAGACCUUCGGGUCUAGUGGCGCACGGGUGCGUAACGCGUGGGAACCUGCCCUUAGGUUCGGAAUAACUCCCCGAAAGGGGUGCUAAUACCGGAUAAUGUCUUCGGACCAAAGAUUUAUCGCCUUUGGAUGGGCCCGCGUUGGAUUAGCUAGUUGGUAGGGUAAAAGCCUACCAAGGCGACGAUCCAUAGCUGGUCUGAGAGGAUGAUCAGCCACACUAGGACUGAGACACGGCCCAGACUCCUACGGGAGGCAGCAAGGGGGAAUAAUGGACCAUGGGCGAAAGCCUGAUCCAGCAAUGCCGCGUGAGUGAUGAAGGCCUUAGGGUUGUAAAGCUCUUUUACCCGGGAUGAUAAUGACAGUACCGGGAGAAUAAGCUCCGGCUAACUCCGUG
rnacentral:rRNA from 1 species